rnacentral:rRNA from 1 species
CCUACGGGUCGCAGCAGUGGGGAAUAUUGCACAAUGGGCGCAGGCCUGAUGCAGCCAUGCCGCGUGUGUGAAGAAGGCCUUCGGGUUGUAUAGCACUUUCAGCGGGGAGGAAGGCGGGGAGGUUAAUAACCUCACCGAUUGACGUUACCCGCAGAAGAAGCACCGGCUAACUCCGUGCCAGCAGCCGCGGUAAUACGGAGGGUGCAAGCGUUAAUCGGAAUUACUGGGAGUAAAGCGCACGCAGGCGGUCUGUCCAGUCGGAUGUGAAAUCCCCGGGCUCAACCUGGGAACUGCAUUCGAAACUGGCAGGCUAGGGUCUUGUAGAGGGGGGUAGAAUUCCAGGUGUAGCGGUGAAAUGCGUAGAGAUCUGGAGGAAUACCGGUGGCGAAGGCGGCCCCCUGGACAAAGACUGACGCUCAGGUGCGAAAGCGUGGGGAGCAAACAGGAUUAGAUACCCCCGUAGUC